GACAGAGGUGCCAAGCGUUAGGCGGAAUCACUGGGCUUAAAGCGUGUGUAGGCGGGUCGUUAAGUACCUUGUGAAAUCCCCCGGCUCAACCGGGGAACGGCUGGGUAUACUGGCGAUCUUGAGCCACCUAGGGGCAGUCGGAACAAGUGGUGGAGCGGUGAAAUGCGUAGAUAUCACGUGGAACGCCAAUGGUGAAAACAGACUGCUGGGGGUGUGCUGACGCUGAGACACGAAAGCCAGGGGAGCAAACGGG
rnacentral:rRNA from 1 species